UAGACUGCGUUGAAUUUCCUAACUUU
rnacentral:piRNA from 1 species